UACGGGGGGGGCAAGCGUUGUUCGGAAUUACUGGGCGUAAAGGGCGCGUAGGCGGUUCGUACAGUCAGACGUGAAAUUCCUGGGCUCAACCUGGGGGCUGCGUUUGAUACGUGCGGGCUUGAGUUCGGAAGAGGGUCGUGGAAUUCCCAGUGUAGAGGUGAAAUGCGUAGAUAUUGGGAAGAACGCCUGAGGCGAAGGCGGGUUGCUGGGCUGACACUGACGCUGAGGCGCGAAAGCCAGGGGAGCGAACGGG
rnacentral:rRNA from 1 species